rnacentral:rRNA from 1 species
CUUCAGCGUUCUGUUUAUUAAAUUCCAAAAGCAAUAAAAACAUUUAGGAGCGUUUAAAAAAACAAACCAAAAGCGUUUAAGAAACAUAUAUGUUUGUUAAACAUAUCUUUUAUCUGUCCCGAGGAAGGUUUUUACCAAUUCACUCCUG